CGCCCUGCAAAAGAGAAAGCCGCAGGGAGGAACGAAGGUGAGGCUUCCAAUCCCAUCUGAACGCCUCUCCUGUCGUACACCCCUCCAACCAAUGAGUGGAACUCCAAGCCCCCACCUGUUCAUGUUGACGGGUGGUAGGGCAAUGAUGCGGGGCCUCGAGGUGAGGACCACCUCUCCGCGGCUUGCCUCCACCAGGAUGUUCUGGAUCAUGUUCUGCAGUAUCGCUUCCUGCAGCUGUGUGCAAGUUACUGUGCAAGAGGGUGCUGGGUGCUGCACGGAUGCCCAGUGAAACCCCUUCCCCCAGCGGAAACACUACGGGGCAUCUUGCUGCAAUUUCACAGAUGCUAGCUGUGUGGCUGAGAUUCAAAGGUCCCAGGAGAAAGUGGCAGAAGAAAGGACACAUCAGAAGUGGUAAUUGGCCUCUGGUCCUAACCGUCCACUGAAGAAGAGACUUUAAAGAUGACCGCCCCUCUCCUGAUCCUGCUGCCAUUGCCACUGCAGGGCCUGCUGGGACUUAGACAUCGGUGUGGCAGCCUUCAUCACUGACCAGGGAGAGAAGUCGUGGGGCUUCAGAAGCUUUGGCUGAUGCAGCUGGAGAGGUGGCCAGAGAAUGAAGGCGCACAGAGCUGAGGGUACCUGAUGAUGGAGGAGAGGCAGUCAACCACAAUCUGCUUCUUCUGCCUCGAGCCAGGGCUCACUUUGUCCGGGGGUUCUUCCUCAAAGGCUUUUGUCUCUUCCCUGAAGGACUUCUUCUUUGGCAGCUCCCUGGAGUAGACCGUGAUAUUCUGAAUGAACUUGGAGUGCUGAUAUGCUGUGACAGGGGCGUACAAGCCAUGACGGCAGCUGCCCAGUCAUGAGGACAUAAAAUAUUCUGGGCACAUUCCCAGUCUUAAUAAAAUGUAGUUUCUGUACUCAGAGAGCCACACCCAACCCUUAGGUUAGAACAGGACCCACAGGCUCCAGGUUGGCCAAAGAAGAGAGUGGGAAGCCUUGGUGGCUUCCUCAGGGGCCUCUCUAUCAACUCCCUUCAAAAGGACAUAAACAAUAAUGGUGAUAUCUCGGGCCCAUAGUGCCCAAUGACUCCUCAUCCACCCUGUUCUUGCUUCAGUCCUUCCUAAAGUGUGGAUACCACUGUUGUACAAAGGGGGAGAGGAUUAAGACUAGAGGAAGGUGGCCCUUCCCCAGGGCUUCACCGGUGCA